rnacentral:misc_RNA from 1 species
AAGACUAUAGACCUGCGGAGUACCUGCGGAGGGAUCAUUAUAGAGUGGUAAACCCCCCGUAAAAGGGGGGGACCUCCUGUCCUUUGUAGGCUCUUUUUUAAAAGGGCUUUUUUUAAUUUUCUGCUUCGGUGGGGUUAUCCCACCGGAACAACCUCAAAACUCUUAUCAAAAAAUCGUUCUGUCUGAGAACCUUUUAUAAUAAAAAAAAACUUUCAACAACGGAUCUCUAGAUCGGAAGAG